UCGAGAAUCUUCCGCAAUGGGCGCAAGCCUGACGGAGCGACGCCGCGUGUGGGAUGAAGGCCUUCGGGUUGUAAACCACUGUCAGUGGGGAGCAAAUGAAUAGGGGUUCUCCCCUAUUUUUGAGCGAUCCGCAGAGGAAGCACAGGCUAAUUCCGUGCCAGCAGCCGCGGUAAUACGGAAUGUGCAAACGUUAUUCGGAAUCACUGGGCUUAAAGAGUCCGUAGGCGGCAUGUUAGGUGAGGUGUGAAAUCCCCCGGCUCAACCGAGGAAUUGCGCUUCAAACCGGCGUGCUAGAGGAAGAUAGAGGUGGGCGGAACUGAUGGUGGAGCGGUGAAAUGCGUUGAUAUCAUCAGGAACACCGGAGGCGAAGGCGGCCCACUGGGUCUUUUCUGACGCUGAGGGACGAAAGCUAGGGGAGCGAACGG
rnacentral:rRNA from 1 species